rnacentral:rRNA from 1 species
UACGUAGGGUGCAAGCAUUAAUCGGAUUUAUUGGGCGUAAAGGGCGCGUAGGCGGAUAGUCAAGUCGUAUGUGAAAUUUCGGGGCUCAACCUCGAAGCGGCAUAUGAAACUAACUAUCUAGAGGGUAGAUGGAGAGAACGGAAUUCCACAAGUAGCGGUGAAAUGCGUAGAUAUGUGGAAGAACACCAGUGGCGAAGGCGGUUCUCUAAUUUAUUCCUGACGCUGAGGCGCGAAAGCAAGGGGAGCAAACAGG